rnacentral:lncRNA from 1 species
ACACCAUCACCUACACAUACCUCUGCUUCUUUUCAUUAACCUGUUAUCCUCUUUACAAAUGGUAUUCUUCACCCACUCCCUUCUUCCAGAUUAGCAAUGCCCUGUUAAGUAAACGAACAUGAAAUUCAAAGGGAAACAGGAACAAUAAUCAUUACCAGCUGCCGUGUUAAGCAUUGUGAAAACGCUCACGAUUCACAGAAAAAUCCAUGCUGUUCUUUGAAGGCAUUCAAGCCUUAAUAGCUAGCUGGAUGAAUGUUUAACUUCUAGGCCAGGCACUACUCUGUCCCAACAAUAAGCCCUGUACAUUGGGAAAGGUGCCGAAGACAUGAACUUUGGUCUUCUCUGCAAUCCCUCUGGAGCAUUCAGUGACAACGUCGACUUUGAAGUUGCACUGACCUGGCCAGCCCUGCCACUUACCAGGUUGGGCUCUUGAGUUUCUGCUUUCAAGUGACCCUCAGAAAUGCCCCCAUUCACUGCAGAGGUUCUGUUUCUCCUUGUUUUGUUCCGACUUUAUGGCAGAACUAGGUUAAUGAGUUAAUUACUAUGAGUUAUCACUUGGAUUUGAAGAACCAUCAUUUCUAGGCUUUGCUGCUCAGAGUGGGUUUGCCCUCAGGGGAAGCUAUCUAACCAGAGCCUAACCCACUAGGGUUUUAUCAGAACCUAACUGGCCUGAGGAAAAGAAAUAUUCAACUCCAGCAAGCUCCAGCCUUCCAAACGGAGGAGGAGAAAACCCAAAUCCAGCCCACUUCAGCUAUCUUGUCCCACAUAAAGGGGGAGUGGAAGAAACGUGAGAAGCAGGCAUGAAGUUCACAGUCCGGAGGUACAGACACAUCAGAGUUCAGUAUCUGAUGAAUUAGAUGCAAAAUCCUCAACAAA